AGAUCCGACUGGUUCUGAAAUCUUGCAGCGAUCGUAUAAGAGUAUGAACCAUUUCUUUAGCUUUGGGAAUGUUGUGUGUUGUAUGAGUUCUUUCCAUUUCAGUGUUAUCUCGCGGUCUAUUUUUGACUUAAAUAAGUAUUAAAGGAGGGUAUCUACAGUCGGUUGCGUGAGAGCUUCUAAGACGCGAUUGUGAGAUUUCCUGUGAUUUAAGAAUCAUCGAAGUUCUUGGUUCGGAGCGCGAUGAGUUCACGGUAGUUCAAGCAGAACCUUCAAGCGAUGUAACGAUUAUUGCUGGCUGAUUGUAUCGUUUUUCUAGAAUUCCCCAAACAGUAUUCUUAAUACCUUGUAUCCUCCCUUCCAUUGCACGUUAUGCCCGUUGGAAGGGUCAUCGAGGGCCAGUGUUACGUGCGAGUAUCCAGGAAGUGAAACAUACAACCUUGAGGAAUAUUCGAAAGGGUUCGGCUUAUAUUACGGAAACCAUUAGAUUGGCCGUCGCAUGACCGCUUGAAAAAUUCAAGGUUUAUGACAGAAUCUCAGUUAUUAAGCACCGAAAAAGUGGUGUGAACAAGUUAAAAGGGAAACGGAUAUUCCACAUCAAAUGGGAAAGGAACAGGCAAAAUUGCAGGUCGUAAUGAAAAACCAACCGCAGUCACAUACGUACAUGCUAUGGAACAACCGCAGAAAACAUAGCACUUCUUGAUGUACUUGUAGAAAAUUUCUCGUUCAUAUUGUUCCGCUUCUUUGAUACAAACUAUCAUUUCCUCGACUAUACGCUGUAACUCAUAGUUAGGAUGAAUUGGUAUAAUUUUGGCUGUGGUAUAGGGGACGUCACGCCGAUUUUGAUAGGUCUGAAAUAUGUAUGAUGUCAAGAUCUAUAUGCUGCAUAAUUUUUCCCAAUACACAUAAUUCCAACUCGCUCAUAGUUUUCCAGUGAUACGUAAAAAUAUUGUUAUUAUGUACCAUGUCCUUAAUGUUUCGAAUUUGUUUGAAUUUAUCUGAAUUAGGUUUUUGUUAGAUUUAAGUUAGGUUUGACGUACGUUAUUAACCCUUCCAUCUGUAUUAAUGCUUCAAAAGUAAACUAAAUCAGACAUAACAAUAAUGUUAGAUUGCCAAAAUUCCUACAGCCAUCUAAAUCAUGAUAGUAAAUAAUGAGAUGAAUAUCAUUAAUCCAGGCGUUGCAGCACAUACUAAGAAAAAGUAUUAAUCUUUACAAAAUACCUCAAAUUCAACAAAAUCGAUGAAGCGUCCUUUAUUCCAAAUAGUUAUCUAUUGUUGCAUCAAGUAACGACAGAUACUAAAACUUACCUGUAAAGACACGUGUUUGACGCAGCAUACG